rnacentral:rRNA from 1 species
UAUGGGGGGGGCAAGCGUUGUUCGGAAUUACUGGGCGUAAAGGGCGCGUAGGCGGUCAGAUAAGUCAGCUGUGAAAACCUCGGGCUCAACCUGGGAAUUGCGAUGGAGACUGCAAGGCUUGAAUCUGGCAGAGGGGGGUAGAAUUCCACGUGUAGCAGUGAAAUGCGUAGAGAUGUGGAGGAACACCGAUGGCGAAGGCAGCCCCCUGGGUCAAGAUUGACGCUCAUGCACGAAAGCGUGGGGAGCAAACAGG